UGUAAACUCUAUGAUGUUCGCUUCAAAUUGGAAUGAUACAGAGAAAGAAGAUUAGCAUAGCCCCUGCAGGAGAUGACACACAAAUUCAUGAAGUAUUUCAGAUUUUU
ensembl:snRNA U6 U6 spliceosomal RNA